rnacentral:rRNA from 1 species
CUUCCCCUACAGGUUCGCAGCAGUAGGGAAUCUUCCGCAAUGGGCGAAAGCCUGACGGAGCAACGCCGCGUGAGUGAUGAAGGUCUUCGGAUCGUAAAACUCUGUUAUUAGGGAAGAACAUACGUGUAAGUAACUAUGCACGUCUUGACGGUACCUAAUCAGAAAGCCACGGCUAACUACGUGCCAGCAGCCGCGGUAAUACGUAGGUGGCAAGCGUUAUCCGGAAUUAUUGGGCGUAAAGCGCGCGUAGGCGGUUUUUUAAGUCUGAUGUGAAAGCCCACGGCUCAACCGUGGAGGGUCAUUGGAAACUGGAAAACUUGAGUGCAGAAGAGGAAAGUGGAAUUCCAUGUGUAGCGGUGAAAUGCGCAGAGAUAUGGAGGAACACCAGUGGCGAAGGCGACUUUCUGGUCUGUAACUGACGCUGAUGUGCGAAAGCGUGGGGAUCAAACAGGAUUAGAUACCCUGGUAGUCCACGCCGUAAACGAUGAGUGCUAAGUGUUAGGGGGUUUCCGCCCCUUAGUGCUGCAGCUAACGCAUUAAGCACUCC